GGGAUCCAAGCACUUGUAGACAAAUCAGUUUCUCAAGAUAAAAAUGACUUGCCCUUUAUGCAAUGGAAAAAGAAGUUGAACCCUGAGACAUCCCUAGAGCCAUCCCAGCCAAUAGCAAACAAGGACAAGACUCUCAUUGUCCAUCAUCCACACCUUCAGCCCCUCCUCCCCCACCCAUAUAUAUGGCACACUACUCUCUUCAAUGUGUUUCAAACUCUCAGGGAGUUUCAAAAAGUAAAGUAGGGAACAGAAAAAAGGGAGAUAGAGAGAGAGAGAGAGACAAGGUAGGUUCAGGUAGAGUUUUCUACAAAGCUAGCUUUGCUUCAUGCCAAAUUGCAAGCUAUUUGGUUGUUUCCCAAGUGAAAACAGUAGCCAAAGGAGCUGAGGGGUGUUUUUGUCUUUUGGGGGGACAUGGAAGGCCUUGUGUUCCUUCUUGCUGUAUAUAUGCUGCUUAAUUAAUUGCUUCUACCUUACUUGCAGAUCACUUUCACAUCUAGCCUCAGCACAACCAAUUAUCAAGAGCACUGAUUUGGUUAAUUGACAUCUUCUGUCUUCCUCCAGUAAAGAUCAUUGUCACCUUAAAGUCGAUGCAUCCACCAAUCGUUUUCAUUGUUGUGUUGUCAUUUUUUUGUUGUUGUAAAUGACCAGUUAACAUCUUGGCCAUGUUCACAUUUGUUCAUAUUCAAUACAUUUCAACUCAAAUCAGACACCCGAUUUUGAGUUAUUCACUGGUUUGAAUUUGUUGACAAAUAGUGGCAUCGAGAAUUGAAUACCUACAAAUAUAUGUACCAAGCUUUUGAGAAGAAUUAUAUUA